rnacentral:lncRNA from 1 species
UGGUGGGACAGCACCGUGUAAGGCAGACAUGUCGGGGGUCCGGGUGGUGUCGCGGCUCCUGGGCGCCCGGCGCCUGGCACUGACUAGGGCGGUGAGUCGGCGCCGUGGGGCGGGCAGGGCGCGGGGAGCCGAGGAGGGGCAGGACUUCCCACGGGGCGGAGCGGACGCCGAGUCCCCCCGGCGCCGGACCGGGACGGGGUCGCGAGGGUCUGGGGGAGGAUGCGGUGAGGAGGCCGCCCGAAGGGGUGGGGCCGACCCGGAGGGCCGCGGGACUCCUUCUGAAGCCAGCGAGUCGCGUCCCGGUGAAGGUCAUGACCCCGCUUGCCGUCCCCGGGGACCCUUCCCCAGAGUACUAAGGUCGCCCCCGCCCCAGCCUUCGGCGCGUGGGGAGGCGUGUUUGCCCGAGGUCACCCUGACAGGUGGCGGCCCGUGGGUGCCCCGGGCCUCUGAAUCCAAAAGCGCCCUUAGAUCUCCGGCGGAGGCGGGCCGGCAACCGCAGGCGCGCGCCGGCCGGGCGCUGUGCCGAUCGCCCUGGGGACGGUCCGUCGGGUGCCAGCAGCCCCGAGGACCCGGCCGGGCUCGGCCCUCCCGCCCCAGGCAGGGUAGGUGGGAGGCACGUCUGACACCGGCGCUGGCGCUUGCCUGGCAACUGUUUGCAAAACCGCGCUUCUUCGGGGAAAGCGAAGACCCGUGUUUCACACCGGGAUCUGGCAACUUUUGGACCUUCAUUUUGGGUUUUGUAUGGUGGCCUUUUGCGCACAUUAGAAAACCAGGCGAAGAACGUCAGCGCUCUGACCGCAGACCACGUUCGGGCGACGGCGCCGGGAAGUCUGAUUUCCCGUGCGUUGUCUGCCCGGACUCCGGUCAGUCGUGGAUGACCGUCAGGGUUGUGCCUUCUGGAGCCCUUGCUUACCGGAUUGUGUCAGAUGUACUCCUUACAGUUACGUCUUCAGGAUCUACCUUUUCAGGUUUUAUUUCAGCACACUAAACUUGGAGGGGUUGUUGUUUGGGUUCUUUUAUAUGAUCCGCCUGCCCACCUACUUAGUAAUGUAAUUACAGAGUGAAAAUCCCAGUGGGAACCGAGGCAUUCAACAGUAUUGACAGGAGUUAUGCCUGUAGUUAUACCUGCAAUUUUCUCCAUUUUGAAAUACAGAUACUAAAAAUUAAGUUAAAUGUGAGAAGGUUAACUCCGCCAUCCUGCCAAUGCCAGAGAACGUUUUCAAUGCUUUCUCGUGCUGCUGUGGUUGAUGCUUCCUGAGCAGAGGUCCCCACUCUCCACACCCCACCCAUCUUGGGCUCUAAGUCCACAAGCUGGAUGGGCAGUGGGAUAUUCUUCGGCAAACGUGAGCAGACUUCUUAGUGCCUCCUGCUUGUUAAGUGCAGUGACCAGUAACUGGUGGUGCUGGGAGAAGAGCUAAACAUGUGUGUCCUCGGUCACCCCAGCGUUCUUGUGCAGACUAAGACCCCUCCAGUCUGUGGAACUCCCUUGACCACCUGCCUGCCCUUUGUUUAUGACCUUGUUGUCCUUUAUGUAAACUGGACUAGAAUUCUAGCUCUGAGCUCUGAGCUGCAAGUGAGAAUAAGAUUCUGAGCACCACUGGUCAGAGUGUGUAAACCUGUACUUUUGUAUUGGCUUGAUUGGAAGUUAUCUUGGUUGAAUCAACUAUUAGCUGCCAGCAUUUACCCUUCUUUUUACCUUGAUGAAGAUAGCUUUUCCUGUGGAAAUUAAUUCUGCCCCCAAGCAGUAUAUGUAGUGGAAUUUAAGAUUGGCAAAAACAAAAGCAUCAACUUAGAACAACAACAACGAAAUGUAUGAUCACCAACUGAGAAAUGUGCACGGAGAGUAGAUGAUGAGGGUAGUUUGAAUAAAAUCCACAGAGAAUUUUUCUUGAUUUCAUUUUGUUCAAUUCUCUGGUGUUUCCAAGGCAGUUUAUAUUUACAGCUGCUUUCAAGUUGCAAAAUCAUCAAACCUAUUUUGCGUUGGUUUCAUUUUUAGUUAUCUUAAUGCACUGACAUAAUUUGCAGACUGUUCUGGUGUAUUGAAAGGAAAAGUAAAAGCAAGGUCCUUAAAUAGUUGCUGGUUAAUUGCUUCAGAUGAGAUUUUUCAAAUUCUUUAACAUGGAUAUCCAAAGUACUGUUCUAGAGUAAGUCAGUUUUUCUUUGAAUGUAUUGUUUUGAAUUUGGCUUAAUGAUGUAUCUAGAAUUACAUUAUUUAGGCCAUUGUGGUAACCUUUUUUGUUUUCCUUUUUGGGGUAAUUGUACCGCUGUGGCAUUCAUUUCUGCAUUCUGUGGGAUGUUUUUCCUGGUUCACUGGAAAAAUUGUGGCUUGGUUUUGAUACGUAAUCUGGAUAUGCAUCUUAUUUUGGAGUCCCAGAGAUUUUUCCUAAGGCUCCUUACCUAGGGGGGAUGUACUGAAUCUGGUACCAGCCAGGCAGACCAGAGUUCAGACCCUGGAUAGACUCCAUUUCUCUUUCAUGAGGGUUCUGGGAGGUAGCCUGUGACGCCCUGGUGUGGUGAUCAUUCUAGCCAGGACCUACACCUACAGCCUGUGCUCGAUAAUCUUGUGAAUUGUAUUCUAAGCAUCCCUGUUUUAAAAACCUUUAAACUUCUAAUGAAAAUAAUUACACAUAGUUAUAAAAAAAAAAGUCAAGGAAUACAGAGGCUUUAUAAAUGAAAAGGAUUGAGACCCUCUCCUAACCUCAGACCUGUUCCCCAGUGAAAUCACUUCUGAAUUGUUUCUGUUAUUGGCCGCUGGUGUUUACCUCCAUGUCUCUAGCUAAUGUGCAGGCUUACGUUCAUCCAUUUUGGACUUUGACUUGUGGCUCUGAAUGAGGACUCAGUUCGCUUAAACCAUCUUCCCCCAUCCUCAGUUCUUCCCAUGGCCUUCCAAGGCACUUUCAGAGCCUUUAUGGGCUGCUUUUCUUAUUAUACAGAUUGUACUUACAAAUAGUUUCUUGUCUGCAAUUCAUAGGUGAACGCUAUCAGAUGGGGACCUGUACUUCGCUAGAUUAAGGGUUUCAAUAUCUCUGCCCUUCUCUUCAGUUUUCUCCCUUUUACCAUUUAAGUCAUUCACUUGUGCUUUCAUGUCAUUAAAAGCUCUGUUUCUUUUAAUUCUGCCUCCAAGGCAGAUUUCCUCACGCUUCUUUACGUUUCCCUGUUGGAAAAUGUUUGAUAGUUUUACUUCAAAAAAUGUUAAAUAGUUUUAUUUAUAGACAAAUUGGGUUAAUUUUGGGCUCUCCAGAUUCUAAAAUUGCUCCUCAAAUCCGAUUUGGAUAAAAAGCUAGUAUUCUAUUUUCCACAGGGAGAUAGUAUGAUAAUUUGUUAGAGAUUUCAUUUUAACAGCUGCCAGUGUUUGAGAUGGCCGUGUGUGUCUAUCUUUAUUUAACGUGAACAUCCUAGAAAGAAGAAAUAAAUACUUAGGGAAUCUCACUGUUACUAUUUUACUUUUUUACAGUUCAACUUAAGCAGGUAAGUUUAAUGAUCAGAACAAAAAUGGGAUCGCUUAGGAAAAACUAUAUAAAAGACGCUUUACAGUAUAAUAUGUCCUUUUCAUGUUGAUUAUUUUUAUAGGAUUUAAUAUGUGAUUAUUCUUCAGUUUUCUGAAUUAAAAUUGUUCAGGUGGCCAUAAAAUCUGGAAACAUAGACAAAUAUACAUAAUAAAUAGUUUACUCAUAUUCCAACAAAUGUUCAAUGAAUGUGCUGUUCCUCAUUAGCAUUUCAUACUUUAACAAGUUAUGCAAAACUGCAUGUGCACCAAAGCACUAUUUCCAUCAAUCCUCGUACAUCCACCUACAACGAAUCGCUUGUGGGGAUUUGUGUGUCUCACUUUCCCUGAAUAAACGUGUGCCUUUAGCACACCCAAGGUGUAAUUAAGGAAGAAGUGUCUGUCAUCUGUGUUUCUGGAUUGUGUGGUCCUGUUUUUGGUUUUGUUUUUUUUUUUAAGUUUCACCUACUAUAAGUCUUAAAAACAUUUUUGACCAUUCGUAUUAUACCAAGAAAAAAGAUGAAUACUAAAUACAAGCUAAUGGAAAAACAAAAAUUCAUUUGUUUUACCUUUCUAUUCCACAUCACAACAUUUUACUGAAAAUGAAGGGAUUUUUCAUCUAUAGAUAAAAGACUCUAAAUGGUACUUAGGUUGUUUUACAAGUUUGAUUUUAAAAUCGUUUAGAAUUCACAAUGGGUCUUACACACAAUGAUUUCAAUAAAUCAGGCACUCCAGAGCACAAUUGGAGGUGUAACAAUUAUGUGAUGACUUCUUAACAGUCCAAGGAGAUAAAGACCUUUUUUUCAAAUAUGGAAAGAAAUUAAUCUUUCUGCAGUAUUAACCCCUAAAAGCUAUCUUCCUUUAUAGACUACAAUAUUAUUGUCAAUUUAAUAUACUUUUAUUUUUUUUAAUCUUAUUUUUAAUGUUUGUUUUACUUUUGAGAGACACAUCCAGUGCGAACGGGGGAGGGACAGAGAGAGAGGGAGGCGCAGAAUCCUAAGCAGGCUCCAGGCUCUGAGCUGUCAGCACAGAGCCUGAUGCAGGGCUUGAACCCAUGAACCGUGAUAUCAUGACCUGAGCCGAAGUCAGAUGCUUAUCUGACUGAGCCACCCAGGCACCCCCAUAUACUUUUAAAAAGAACUCCCAGAGGAAGAAAUUUCUGGAGGUUUUCCCAAAUAUAUACAGCUACUUUUUCUGUCAUGCUUACAACAUCUGCAAAGUACGGAAUGUUCAAAUGCAGAUUCUUAUGAUCAAGGGGCUCCAUAAUUGCCUCCUCCAUAUACUCUUUGAGGUCAGUCACUUUCAUAACUAUUCCUGUAAUAGGAUCAAUCUCUCCAUGUACUGUCACCACAACUUUAUAAUUGUGCACGUGGCCAUUUGGAUUGUUGGCAUUCCCAAACAAUUUCAAGUUUUCUUCAUUACUCAGAGAUGUGCUGUGGAGCCAGUAGGUCGCUCUGAGGGAGAUGAGGUGGGACAGUUGCGUGGUGUUCUUGGCUUGCCUUCCCACUUGGUUGGUGGUGGGGCUGGGACAGGCUCUCUGUUUCUAUUUUGAUUUCAAUUUGGUAUUGUAAAAUGUAUUGUUCUUUUUUGGAACUAUUACCUUUAUCUUGUACUUCAUUAAAAUUUCAUGAACAUUUGUAUUUUGCUGACUUGGUUAUUUGUUAAGAUGUGAUUUUUACCAUUUAAAAAUUAUACUAAAGCAGAAGAAUAUUCUUUUUAAGUUUUUUAAUUCGUUUACUGGACAAAAAGUUGACUUAUGUCAAUAAAAACAAAAGUACUUAUGGGCGCUUGGGUGGCUUAGUCGCUUAAGCAUCUGACUUUAGCCCACAUCAUGGUCUUGUGGUCCAUGAGUUCGAGCCCUGUGUUGGGUUCUGUGCUGACAGCUAAGAGCCUGGAGUCUGCUUCAGAUUCUGUGUCUCCCUCUCUCUCUGCCCCUCCCUGGCUUGUGCUCUCUCUUUCUCAAAAAUAAAUAAACAUUAAAAAAUACAUAUAUACUUAAAGUUGAAAUUGGAGAAUUCAAGAAUAUUGCAUUUAUCAGUUCAGGUCUACUUAGAAAUUCAAGAAACUUCUUUGUAAUUGGAACUGUUAGCAUAAAGUCAACUAUUUGUGGCAGGCAUCAUUUGGUCUCAGUGCUUAAGAAAGUCUAAAAAAAUAUUUUUAAGUUAUUCUUGAGAGAGAGAGCGAGAGGUGGGGAGGGGCAGAGAGAGAGAGAGGGAGAGAGUGAGCAUCCCAAGCAGGCUCUGCACUGUCAGCACAGAGCCCAGAUGCAGGCCUAGAACUCAUGAACUGUGAGAUCGUGACCUGAGCCAAAACCAAGAGUCAGUUGCUUAACUGACUGAGCCACUCAGGUGCCCCUAAAUGCUAAAGAAAGUCUAGAGGUUGGAGCCACCUGCUCCAUUUGCAAGCGGCCAAGCCCUCCAGCCUGGCCUGAGGCCAUUAAUCUUCAAAGAAAGUCCUUCUGUUCAAAACCACUCAGAGUUCAUUUUGUAUUUUGCCAAAUUCUCCUCCCUGAAUUCUCCACUUGUUUGUCCUACAGAAUAAUUUUUUUACCCCACAGAAUAAAUAGCAUCUCUUCCAAACUGCAGAAUACUCGAAGACAUCUCUCAUAUCCCCUUUGUCAUUGUUAAACAUACUUAAUUCCUAAAACUGUUCAUGAAAUUGCUAAGACUUCAUUUUAUCAGUAGCCGUCUAAAAUGCAGUCAUAGAACAGAAAGACAUGCCUUAUAAGUUGGUUUUCAUAUAAAGAAGAUGGCCCCUCAGGCUGGGCUGUGAUUUCAUUAAUACCAAUUUUCUUGAGUAAAUGUGUUCAUAGGGUGGAACAUUUAAGCCAAAACUUGGAGAGUUGGAGAGAUUAGCCAGGGAAUGGCCAGGGACAAGUGUUCAGACAGGGAACAGCACCCUGGAGUAUGACAGAGGAGAGGGGAUGUGGCUACAGCCCAGCGCAGGUGUGGAGAGUGGUGAAGCAGGAGCAUCUCUAGGCCUGGAGUCUUCACAUUCACAGUGAAGGGUUGGUCCCGCUGGUACCCAGUGUCAGGGUGAGCAGUAGAGCCUCUUGUAGAAGAUGGAUCUCCCAAUACACUGUCCCAGGCCUUUUCCAGUGAACCACAAAACCUUGCAGACGUGUGGUGCUAUAGUGUGAAGAGGGUCAUGAUGGAUCCAGUAAAAGUGCUUCAUUGUAAACUACCACUUUCACAAAAUAGAUGGGUUUCCCAUUGUCCACUAAAAACCAUAAAUUAAGAAAUGAACGUGACAUUGUGUCCUUUUCAUUUCCUGCUGAGUCUGUGAGUGUCCUGCUUGGAGACAAGCUUCAUCUAGAAGAGCUUUUCUCGGAGUGCCAACUCCUUGCCACUUGGGCCUGCCCUGGGUCCUUAGUCCGCCUCUACCCUUCAGGGUUAAGUAGAGGACCCCAGGUGAGCUGUCUAGGUGAAGGAGCAGCUGGAUACAUAAAAAGGUUAAUGACUUGGGAAAUUUUGAUGAUUUGUUAUUCUUCUAAGACACUUAAGUGCUCUCCAUCUCUCCAUCUCUGUCUCAGCAGUGGCCCGCGACAUGGCAGGCAGGCACCUGCGGUUUUCACUUCACUAUUGAUGGGAAUAAGAGGUCUUCAGCUAAAGUUUCAGAUUCAGUAAGUUUACAACUUUUUGUUCCCUUAUAAAUGAUAUGCUUGUCUUAGAGGAAUAAUGAUCUAUGCCAGUCUUCAAUAUAUUGGAGUAAUACACAGGUCUUAUUUAAAGGAAAACAUUCUGGUUCCAAUAAUGCUCUAUUUUUAGUGUAUAGCACUUAACUGUAGUACAAAUGUAAGCAUAGUUACUAACAUUUUUUGCUUAUGGUUCUUAAGUAUCUAUAAACCAGAUUAAAAUUUAAAGCAGCAAAAUAAUAAAAUACCAGUGACCACUGAACAUUAUUCAUUGUGACAGAUGACAUAGGACCCUGAAGCCACUUGUGUGUAGGCUCUUGGUGUUUACUGGGUCUGUUCUGUCCUCUGCUGAAGGCACUAAAAUUUGUUUACAAAUUCUUUUCUCACAAGCUCACAAUAGUUACUGAAUACUAGUUGGCACCUUCUCAGUCCAACACAAACAUGGUCCUGAAACCGGGGGGUGGUCCUCAGUGCUGAGGCAGUUGCCCAGAUGAAUCGGAAUGUGCCUACCUAAUUAAAACAACAUACUGGGGCACCUGGGCGGCUCAGUCGGUUAAGCAUCCGACUUCAGCUCAGUUCAUGAUCUCGCGGUUUGGGAGUUGGAGCCCCGCAUCAGGCUCUGUGCUGACAGCUUUCGAUUCUGUGUCUCCCUCUCUCUCUCUGUCCCUCCCCUGCUUGCACUCUGUCUCUCUCUCCUUCAAGAAAUAAAUAAACAUUAAAAAAAAAAAAUUUACCUUUUCUUGAGAAACUUGCUGACCGCAGGUGGAGAAUCAUGAUCUAUAUACUGCAUUAUGAGCUUAGAUUCACACAAGCAUGUGUAUGAAUAUAUGGCUGUCAACGGAAAAAGAUGAACAGAAAGGAUAAUGGAGUAGGAAAGCCGUAUUUAGAACUAAUAUUUUGAUUUGUGUCGUUGCUUUCCUUUGCUUCCACGGUUCCCUGCUUUGAGGCUGUACCUCUUGUUUUCAACAUUUCACUUCAUGGUGGGUGUCCCAGGUGCUAGGAUGCGUGCUCCCUCUUCGUCGGGUCUGUGUUUCGGUCCUGUCGGUGUGGGGUGUGCCAGCCACACACUCUGGGUCCUGGCACAGGGUGGAGGCCCCUCUGCUGUGGUUGCUCUUUCAUCGCUUCUUCCAUUUUGUCUGAGCUCUUGCACUGCACCCACCGUCCCAAUGUGUGGCAUAGGUAAAUGGGUGGUUGACAGGUGAAUUGUUCCUUUCCAGAUUUCUACGCAAUACCCGGUAGUGGACCAUGAAUUUGACGCGGUGGUGGUAGGCGCUGGAGGGGCAGGCUUGCGAGCUGCGUUUGGCCUUUCCGAGGCAGGGUUUAACACGGCCUGCGUCACAAAGCUCUUUCCUACGAGAUCACACACCGUUGCAGCCCAGGUAAGAGAAAGGGGCCCCCUUAAUGGUUUUGGCGCCUGCACAGCAGUGCUCAGUCUUCUGCCACAGGCCUUCUCACUGCACGCCAGCCAUGUUCCUGUCUCUCUGCUCCUUGCACCCACCUGGCUUACUCGCCUUGGGAGUGUGUUCCCACACUGCCUCCACCCCCACUGCCGGAGUCACUCCUAGGGCCUCUUAUCGCUCUGCUGCUCCAGUGACACUCAGGUCUUCUCUGAGCACCCACCUAAUCCUCUGGCCCCCAUCAUAGUUUGUCUUCACUGUACUUUCCCAAUCUAAAAUGAGCCUGUCUCUGGACUGAUUCUCUUGGCCCUGCUGCAUCCUUGGCAUGGGCCUCGUUAAGUAUGAUGAUGAUGAGCUUUGCUGGUGGCAUGAAUGUGCAGGACAGAAGAACAUUGGCCUUUAAAUGCUCAAAAUUUAGGGAAGAGGAUAAAAGUAAGAUGAAAAAGUACACAGUGAUUUUAUAAUUUUGUUUUCUUUCCUGGCACACCGUAGGUGGUACGCAGGUUGUAUAUAGUAUUCCAAAACUGGAAUGAAUUGAACUGUUUUUUCCAGUAUUUGGAACAUAUUUCCUCAUAGAGAUAGCAGAGUGUGGGGUAACUUUCCAGGAACCAGUAAAAGCCACCCUAAUUACUGUUGUAGCCUGUAUUCAGCAUGCAGCAACAUUCUUCAGGCACUUUGCUACACAGAUACUUUGUUCUAAAACUAUGUGUUAUAAACUGAAAAAUAAAUAAUACAUACUUUUGAAGAUUACAUUGUGUCUAAAAGGAAAAAUGGAUGUAAACAUAAGUCUAAAUAAUGAGAAAUAAUAGUAUAUUCAGGUAGUGCAAUAUUAAAACAAUAAAAAGUUAGAAAUGGAUAGCUUACCUUGAAUGCUGGUUGGAGAAAGUAAGGUUUAAUUGGGGGGAUAAGACAGGUGGGGACUGGGCAAGUCUAAAGUGUACUCCUGGGGGGGGCGGGGCACAUGGCUGGCUCAGUCAGUAAAGCGUGCAACUCUUGAUCUCAGAGUCGUGAAUUAGAGCCCUGGGUUGGGUAUAAAGAUUGCUUUUUAUUUUUCUUUGAGUAGGCUCUGUGCCCAGCAUGAGGCCCAGCAUGGGGCUUGAACUCUCGACCCUGAGAUCAAGACCUGAGCUGAGAUCAAGUUGGACACUCAACCGACUGAGCCACUGAGGCGCCCUGAGAUUACUUUAGAAAAACAAAAUUGUAUUUCUUGGGACUCCUGGAAGACCAGCUGUCUGUGGCCCUGAUUCUUACUAGUAGUAGCAAUAAAAUAAUAGCAUGGACAUGUGCACUGGGCCAAGUAUUUAGUGUUAUUUUAAACUAGGUUUCUCUCUUCUGCUACUACUCUGGUACUUAACAGUUUUUACUAGGACUGUGUUUGGGUUUACAAUCGGUGGGGUCGGAGAAGGAGGAGGAAAUAACUUGUGACUUUUGCUGCUUGUCUUGUUAGGGUUCCUGGCUUUGUGCUGGUGACUCUUUUCUUGAUAACUGAAACAUAAUGGGAAACUGAGGCACAGCAGCACCAAGCGGGGAAAGAAUUCCUGCAUGGGUCUGCUUGACUCAGAAGCUUGAUUGAGGAACAUUUGCAAAAAAGAGGGAAGUCAGAAAAUGUGCCUUUUCUUCUCAAAAAGAGAUGAGUAAUCCGGUUUUAAGUUGCGGAGGAAAAGUGUGAGUGUUACAUUUGUCCCUGUACUGCCAUUUUCUGUGACUCUGAGAGACAGACACGGUAGAGAGAAUGUGACUCUGAGUUUAGAGUUUAUUCCUUGACCGUAAGUACUUCUUUAACACAUGUCCAUAAAUGCCACUGGGAACAUUUUGUCAUAAAAUUAUCCCAGAUGGAUUUGCUCAAUACCUUUUAUGUGCCAGGUUUGGAGGUGACGAGCAUUGCUCAUAAAACCGCACUUAACCCUCCAGAUGGCUCUCGAGUUCAGCUUCAUGUCCCUUCAUGGGUAAGGGCACUGAGGCUGAGGGAGGUAAGAUUUGGCGUCUGUCGUGCCUCUCCCUGCUCAGGACGGUCCUGUAACCAACCAGACUGCAGUCAGGUCCCUCACAUGCCGUUGUUGUCAAAAUUAGUUGGUUUUCUCUGAAUCCAGUUUUGGGCAGUGGGUGGAAGGGGGAUGGGCCUGGAAGGUCCAGGGUUCCCUUUCGUAGCUUGUAAGUCUGCCCUGUGUUUACAGGGAGGGAUCAAUGCUGCUCUGGGGAACAUGGAGGAGGACAACUGGAGGUGGCACUUCUACGACACUGUGAAAGGCUCCGACUGGCUGGGGGACCAGGAUGCCAUCCACUACAUGACAGAGCAGGCCCCUGCUUCCGUGGUAGAGGUACUGUCCUUGCAUGGUCUGUUUCUGGUAGAAAAGAGAGGUCGAGGCAAAUGUGGUCAGCCCAAGGAAUGGUAACCAGUUGAUGUAACAAGGGAAAUCUUUCCUAUCAUUAACCAUUCAGUUCAUUUAAUAACAAAGUUUUUCUCUUUUCCUGAAGUGUUGAAAUUUUCAUAGAACGUAUUGGUUUGGGUUUACAGGUUUAUGUUGAAAUUGUUUAGUGUAAAUUAGCGAUGAAUAUCCCGAUUCCUUCAAGGUCCUGGGUGUUUGUUUUCACAUUUCACAGCUGGAGAAUUAUGGCAUGCCAUUCAGCAGAACUGAAGAUGGGAGGAUCUACCAGCGCGCUUUUGGUGGACAGAGCCUCAAGUUUGGGAAAGGCGGGCAGGCCCAUCGGUGCUGCUGUGUGGCUGACCGCACUGGCCACUCGCUGCUGCACACGUUGUAUGGAAGGGUGAGGCCACCCUGGGUGCAUGGGGUGACAGGACAUGGUCUGGUUAGGCCAGGCAUGUGGUGAUGAGCUGGAAACAGGCCACUCUGGGACAGGUCAGAAGGUCAGCAUGUCAGCCCUGGGGUUGCUUAAUAAACAGCAGACUAACAUGGCAGGAUGUAUAUUUGUUAAUUGUUAAUUUGAAAGUGUCUAUUUUAGAAAAUUAAAUUGAUCUGCCAUACCGAAAGUAUAAGAACAGAGCAAGUAUUUUAGGACUCAGCACCUCUGAGUCCCUGAACUAAUUGAUUUAAUACUUAAGUGUUCAAACUGGACUAAGGUUUGGGGGACAGUAGUUACUGGAUAAUCAGGGCCUACUUUGGCAUAGCCAAGUAAUCAAUAUUUGGAAUAACUCUGAUUCAUAAUAUUCAGUAUUCUGAAUUCUUGCUCUCAAAUGGGGACAGAUUCUUGAUUUGCAAAUGUUAGGACCCUGGUGGCAGCUUCGGCUGAGUGCAUUGACACACGUGUGACAGGAUCUGCCCAUCCUGCAGCAUACUGUGUCAUGUUGGGGAGCUGGUGGUUUUGUGAGAGCCCUUCAUGUUUACUGAGCAGCUACAGCAUCUUCUCUGACAUGCAUGACAUGUGUAUGUCCUUCUUAUGGUCUGAUCUGAUCAUACAGCUGAGAGCAGGGUACCUUUCGUGUUGAUCCACAACAGCAUCAGCACUAUGGUUGAUGCAAGUAAAGUCUGUGGCUUCUUUUGCAGCCCAGGGUUUACCCUGUCCAUUUGUUACACACCACAUCAGAGCCCUUGACUUGUUCAUAUGAGCAGUGUUGCUGAAAUGUUAGUUUAACACCCUAAAUGCAAUUGAAACUGUGGGAUUCUUUUUUCUUUCAUGUUUUUUAGUCUCUGCGAUAUGAUACCAGCUAUUUUGUAGAGUAUUUUGCUUUGGAUCUCCUGAUGGAAAAUGGAGAAUGUCGUGGUGUUAUUGCGCUGUGCAUAGAAGACGGGUCCAUCCAUCGCAUAAGAGCAAAGAACACUGUUGUAGCUACUGGGUAGGAGUCUAACUUGUAUUUAGUUUUUCUGCAGGAAAGUUGGGUCUCCGAGUUUCUUUAAAAAAAAAAAAAAUGGAGGCAGUGACCUAACCCAGGAGCAUAAUAAGCUUUGCCAGUCUCAGUUCCAUGUCUCCAAAGGGGACAAUCAUAGCACCUGCCUCAGGUGGGUGAGGAAGUAUCUGUCUUCAGUUUGCACCUGAGAGGACCCUUGAGGAAACGGGUCUGGAGAGUCACGUGACACUUCCUGGCUUAACCUGUCUUUUGCUUUAGUGGACACUGUGUUUAUACUGAUUUCUGGUGUAGAUAAGUGCUGUUUGUUCACAUGAUGAAACUAAAUUACAUUUCUUACAUUGUCAGUCCGUUAUUUUAACCCUUUACAAGAGUGAGUCCAUAAAGCAAAAAUUUCAGCAUUAAAGCAGCACACGCUUCUCAGGGAGGUCGUUCAGAUAGCAUGAAAGUGCCUUGAAGUAUAAACGAGAGUGCCUCCUCCGUCUCCCAGGCUCCCGCCCCAGUUGCCCAGGGUAGCGCGUGCAGACAGCACCUGUCACGGUGCUGCGGGCUGCUCUGUCCGCUCUGGUGCCACUAGAAAGGCGAUCCUGAUGGGACGCCAUGUGUCACUGCUUUCUCUCUGCUGGCCCGUCUGUUUUCCAGAGGCUACGGGCGCACCUACUUCAGCUGCACAUCUGCCCACACCAGCACCGGUGACGGCACUGCCAUGGUCACCAGGGCAGGCCUUCCCUGCCAGGACUUGGAGUUCGUUCAGUUUCACCCCACAGGUAGGACGGGACCACUUUCAUGGGGUCAGGACUCUCAUACCUCUCGAUGCCCCUCUGUAGUCCCACACACUAGCACAUUCUCAGAGCCCAGCUUGUCAUUUGCUCAAGGAAGUUUUUUCCAUUUCUCCCGAGGCAGUUUAGGCCACCACCUUGCCUUGGCGAUACCUGCUCCAGUCGUAAAGCUGGAGCUUUAUGUAAAGACUGUUCAGUGUCCCUCUCCCCAACUCGAUUGUCAGCUCCCGGAGGUGGGGACAGGUGCUGCAGUUCACAGUGCCUGGCACAUAGUAGGACCUCAUCAGUGUUUCCUGAGUGAAUGUCCCGAGAGCUGUUGAUCAGAGUUGUGGCAUGGGCAGAUUCCAGUGUUACAGGGAAAACAUCAGGCUGUCCAGUAGAGUAUAAAGUCGGAACGAGCUAUGGCAGAUGCGGCCCCCUGAGAUGUUAAUGACUGUGGUGCCAUUUGUGGGCACAUUGAGCUCAUCUUGCGUCCUCAGACAGUUGAGUGUGCAAAUGUGGAGUUCAGACGGGAGGUCUAGGCUGCAGGUGCAGAAUUGAGAGAGUUCGUUAUUCAGAUAUGAAUUGGAGAGAGAGAUCUGCCUCUUGGGACAGGCAAGUCUCAAUCUGGACUUUGUUUCUAGUUGCUUUUCUGACCUGUCAACUGAGGGGACACCACACUUUGUGGAAGUAGCCUCCCGCCAUGCUAAAGAACCAGACCUGGGUUUUCUCUUUGCUCUGUCAGUAUAUUUUUUCUGAUCCCUGGCAGGGAUAAAAAGUAAAAAAUGUUUUAGGUAGUUUUUUAAUACUGGUUUUGGGGGUUUUUGUUUUGUUUUAAAGUUUACUUAUUUAUUUUGAGAGAGAACAUGUGAGCGGGAGAGGAACAGAGAGACCAGGAGAGAGAGAAUCCCAAGCAGGCUCCGUCCUGUCAGCAUGGAACCUGACUUGGGGCUCUGGCUCCCAAACUGUGAGAUCAUGACCUGAGCCAAAAUCAAGAGUCAAAACACAAUCGACUGAGCCACCCAGGUGCUCCAGGAAAUUCUUGUUCUUUUUUUUUUUUUUCUUUUAAAAGUUUGUUUAUUUUUGAGAGAAAGAGACAGUGUGAGCAGGGGAGGGGCACAGAGAGAGAGAGACAGAAUCCGAAGCAGGCUCCAGGCCCUGAGCUGUCAGCACAGAGCCUGACUGGGGCUCGACCUCAGCAACCGUGAGGUCAUGACCUGAACUGAAGUCAGAUGCUUAACCAACUGAGCCACUCAGGUGCCUCUGCUUUCUUGUUCUUAAAGCAAGAAAACUCUUCUGGUGUGGUAAUGACAGUUUUAACUUUCAGGUGACAUUGACAUAGGUGUUUGUCUCCUUGUUAAAAUUCAGGUGCUUGGCAUUCCUUAUUGAAGGGACAGUGAGAUUAAGGGCACAGACCUGCCUAGUUGCCAGGUGUGCGUUUGGCUCUGCCUUCCCAGCUGCAGAACACUGACAAGUUCCUAAGCUAUCAUUGCUCUCUCUGAAAAUAGGGAUAUUUCCUGGGGUUGUUACAAAACUUAGAGUUGUAUACAGCAAGUACAGUAUAAGUAUGAACGGUGGUAAUUAUUGCUGUUGUUAACCAGUUUUUAUUUUUUUAUUUUUUUUUUUAAGUUUUUAUUUUUAUUUUCAAGAGACAGAGAGAGACAGAGCAUGAGUGGGGGAGGGGCAGAGAGAGGGAGACACAGAAUCCAAAGCAGGCUCCAGGCUCUGAGCUGUCGGCACAGAGCCCAAUGCGGGGCUCAAACCCAUAGACCGUGAGAUCAUGACCUGAGCCAAAGUCGGACACUCAACCGACUAAGCCACCCAGGCGCCCCAUUAACCAAUUUUUAGAUACGAAUUUUCCAAGCUGGUUUUUCUUACCUAGUCACAAUUUCAUGCUACAAAAGAACAUUCUGCAAUUAAAACAAACCUGAGAUAUUUAACUCAUGCUUGGUUGUGCUGAAAGCUGAAAAGCUGUUGGAAUUGGAAUAUUCAGCCAAGCUGUGUUGUUACUACAUUAGCUGCCCUUUCUCCUCACUGCUGCUUCAUUGGUGCUUUUUGUUGUCAAAACUUCCUACUAUUCCUUACUUAACCUGUCCUUUGUCUUAUUCUGUUGUGAGCAUCAUGCCCCUUGCAUACCCUUUUCCUUUCCACCCCCAGAAACGUAUUGGAAAAAAAUUUGCAUUUGAAAUAUUGACCUAGCAAUUGUUAGGUUAUAAUCAUCUAAUUAACUGGGUUCUUUGCAGGUAUAUAUGGUGCCGGUUGUCUCAUUACAGAAGGGUGCCGUGGAGAGGGAGGCAUUCUCAUUAACAGUCAAGGCGAAAGAUUCAUGGAGCGAUAUGCCCCGGUUGCAAAGGACCUGGCAUCCAGAGACGUCGUGUCUCGGUCCAUGACUCUGGAAAUACGUGAAGGAAGGUCUGUGUCAUUCUAUCCAAAGGUGUCUGAGUGCACACACACACAUGCACACCCUCCUUUCUCUUGGGUGGCUGCUAUUCAAGUCUACAUGUGCACCUGGGCUGGUGUGGCUUCUGUGUGAGUUUUAGCAACUCACCUACCCCACCCAACUCUGAGUAGGCUGCCUCUCCUCCCCUCUGAUGGUUGUUUGUCAAUUUAUGAUAUCCCUCUAAAAACCUACAUUUUGGGAAGUUAAGCUGGUUUGACUUCAGUCUCUCUCAAAUCUGUGGAACAUCAAUUGUGUGUAUGAGUGUUAUGAUAGAGACAGACACUCUGUGUGGGGGAGCAAGACACACAUGCCCACAACCUAAGUUAGCAUAUGGGCCUUCGGUGCUGUUUGGGGACCCACAUGCGUUCGAGACCUUCACUGUGCAGGCUCUUGAGUGCCAGUGCUGCCUUACGAUGGUGAUCUUUCUUGUAUCUUUGAUGUUAUAACUUCUAGAGAUUUUAUAUUUGGAGUGUUUGCAUUAAAAGGACUUUCUAAUGCAUUUACCAAGGAAAACAGCUAAUUGUGACUUCCUAAGACUAGAGUAUGAGCUCAGUGAGGGCUGGAAGUCUGUCCAUGUUCUGGCUGUGUCCUACCACAUUCAGUCUACCCUGUCACAGAGCAGGUGCUCAGAGGAGAUGUGAAGAAUGGAUGGCCACAAGUGAAGGGAAAUUUUGUACAGCAUAAAAAAAUGUAAACUCAUAGUCUCACAUUUUCUAUAAUUGCCGUUUUUUGCCUCACACCGUGAUGUCCUUUUCCACCAGAGGCUGUGGCCCUGAAAAAGAUCACGUCUACCUGCAGUUGCACCACCUACCCCCAGAGCAGCUGGCCAUACGGCUGCCUGGCAUUUCAGAGACGGCCAUGAUCUUCGCAGGUGUAGAUGUCACCAAGGAGCCCAUCCCCGUCCUUCCCACCGUGCAUUAUAACAUGGGCGGCAUUCCUACCAACUACAAGGGGCAGGU